UAAACCACUCGCUAUGCUCGCGGUUCAAUAUUGGAAUCUUUCGCUUGCUCGGGUUUCAAUAUUGGCACGUGCGGUUAAACAACAACUUUGCCCCCUUGUAAAACAAAUAACAAUUACAAAUUAUAAAAGAUGUAUUUGAAAAUCAGGCUUUAAUUGUUUUUAUUUUUGCAUUGUAUUGUGUAUCUAUAGUGUUAAUAAAAAUUAUUGCUUAAAUGUUUUGUUAUUUUGUGAUAACAUGUUAGUUAGGUUACCAUAAGCCUUUUGACACCAAGCAUACCAAAAGGCAUCCAAAGGCGUCAGAAGUUGUCGUUCUCAUAGCAUAGUUUACAUUAGUUCGUUGGCGGGUGAGUGACGUAAGUCUUACGACUUUGGUUCAAUUUUGGAAUUUUUCGCUUGCUACGAGUAAAUCCCUUGUAAAAGUAAGACUAUUUUUCGUCGUGAAAAUAAUGAAGAAGUAGUUACGUUAUGAUAUUUCAGAGCGACAAUUUUUGAUGUUAGUGGCGCAAGGGAGGGUAGGUCUUUGCCCAGCAGUGGGACACAAAAAUAGGCUAGAACAGAAAUCUUCAACACACCUAGCUCAAAAACCUACAUGAGCAAAAGGUACGGAAGUACGCAGAAUUCACCACCGGAAAGAAUCUACAGAAUAAAUUUUGUCAUAGGUAUAUCUAUGAGUAUUAGUUGACUACGGUAACGGAACCCUAAAAUAGGUUUCUGUUUAACAACGAAAUUUGCCCAUCGUCAAAAAAUCUGACACAUAAAGUUCUCUUUGCUGAUAAUAGACACAAAAUCAUAAAUGACAAAUGUCACGUAUUAAAAACAGAAGAUCAAAAUUGUCACUCAGAAACCAACAAAACCGUUUAUCGGGACAACAAAAUGUAAAGCGUAGGGAAAGAUUCAUCAGUUGUUACAAAACAAUCAAGAUGCGCCGCAUAAUUUCCAGAAGAAUGCAAUAGAAAAACCGACGCAAAAUGGCACCCUCAAUUCACCCACCAUGCACCCCGAGCGCAUCUUGCACGAAGGGGCAACCCUUACGCUGUCACCCCAGUGUGCCUCCGUGCACCCGGCCAGAACAAUGUCUAGCGAGGACCACCAAAAAAGGCAUAAAGCCUUGCCAAAGUGCAGUAUCCAUAAUGUCUACAAGAUCCAAAGCCUCAUGUGGAUAUUGCAACAAGUAUUCAGAUGGCGGCUCAGGCAGAAUCAUGAAUACUUCGACACCCCGAAACACUGACCAGAUUCAAAAAUACCUUAAGAGAAAAUCGAAGGAGGCAAGACUGAGAAAAUACGAUAGGUUGCACGGAACGCAUAGAUAUUUGAAAUACCAAAGAUCGAAGGGGACACCUCGGGCUCAAAAUGAAUGUUGUGCUGGAAAAGGUCACAGAGGCAGGCUCAGGCGCUCUGGCUGCCGGCAUUGCUGCGGGAAGUGUUGCAGCCUCGCCUGCCGGCAGAACUGUCAGGAGUGCUGUGACGAGUGCUGCUGUCCAUGCUGCGGUACUUACUGCAGUCGCUACUGCACAAUAAUCUGAAGUAUACACCGUCGAACCGCCUAAUAACCGCGUCCAGUCAAACCGAGUCAACCAGAAACCGUGUCCAGUAACCAAACCGAUAUGCCAAUAUUGUUCUUAGCCAUCCAUUAUACUUCCAGUACAGUAAAUGAAAUAAAAUAAAUUACGUGUUAAA